rnacentral:lncRNA from 1 species
CUGGCCUCAUGCUAUUUUAGCUCUUAGAGGAUUGGAAGUGCUUCUUACACAUCUCUUUAUUUCUUGUUUACCUUUUCUGAAGCUCAAAACAAAUAAGAGAGAGCAUGACCUGUUCCCUCUAGACAGCUCCUGCGUGAGAGCCUUCCAGAACUGUCAGCCAGCAUUUAGCCAACACCAGCCCAGUUCCAGGGUAAAAGUGACUUAGAGAAGACGCUGAGAGGCUCGCUGGUGCUCCUGUCCCAGCGCCAGGCAGCAGGUCUGGCAUGUCACAGAUGCCACAGCAGUCACCGCUGGCUGAGUGAGUGAGUCACCGGAUCCAAGAUGCAGGAAACAACCUCACCUGUCGAUCCAGGACCAGAAGAAGAAGGGGAGCCAGCUCUACUUCCAGAGGCAAAGGCAUGCAGGUCUCACGAGUCCGCCAUGAGCUCCCUGAAAAGGAACCGAUUGUACAGUCACAAUUCAUGCAUUGCUGGCUGGAAUGCAAAAAGAGGUACAACCCCCCACAGAAGGGAUCGGGAAACAGGAAUGUCUAGAAAAAGUACAUAUGCAAUCACUCUUCCAUGUAGCAACUUAUCCAUGGUAUUACAUGCCUCCUUCUCUUAAAAUUUCACCUUAAGUCGCCUCCUCCAAUAGACUUUCCUUGACUUCUCCUGCUAAAGGAGCCCUCCCCUCCCCUUACCCUAUUCCCUCUACUCGGUCAGCCUAUUCCUUCUCAUCUUAAAUUCGUCACAAGUCAAAUUCCUACUAUUUACCUAUCAUGUUUACUUGUUCAUUUUCUCUCUCAAAAGUCAGCUCAUUCUAAAAUACUAAAGGAAGGGGUGCCUGGGUGGCUCAGCUGGUCGAGUGUCCAACUCUUGAUUUUGGCUAGAUCAUGAUCUCAGGGUCAUGGGAUGGAGCCCCACACUGGGCUCUAUGCUGAGCAUGGAGUCUGCUUGGGCUUCUCUCUCUUUCCUUCUUCCCCUCUUCCCCACUCAUGUUCUCUCUCUCUCUCUCUCUCUCUCUCUCUCCCUCAGAAAAAAAAAAUAUAUAUAUAUAUAAUAAUUAAUUAAUUAAAAUACUAAAGGAAAAAGACCAAUGACCCUGUAGAAAAGAAGGGCUAGAUAAGAAGGCAAUUCACAGAAAAAGAAAUGCAAAUUGUCCUUCAACAUUUGGAAAGAUUUUUGAUCUUUCUCACAAUAACAGAAUUAUUAAUUAGAACCAUGAUAUCUUUUCUCCUGGAUGACAUAAAAAUCCAAAAAUUGGAAAAGGUAUUUUGUUGAUGAGUCAAUGGAAGCGCUAACAUAUUCAUGCAUUCUUGUUAGAAUGUAAAAAAAAAAAGUAUAACACUCAUGGGAGGGAUUGGGAAUAUCCAGCAAGAGUACCUGUGCUAUGACCCUUUGACACAGCAAUCCAUAUCCUAAGAGUCUUUCACACAGAUAUACUGACAAAAAUAUGCAAUAUCAUAAGCAUAAAGCUAUGAAUUAUAGCACUGUUUGUAAUAAAUAGCUACAGCCUGGAAACA